rnacentral:lncRNA from 1 species
AAACAGCCUCUCUACCCCAGGGUAGGGGUAAGGCUGCGUACACACUACCCUCCCCAGACACCACUGAGUGGUAUUGUACUGGGUCGUACUUUUUUUUUGUCCAAUCCAUAACAAAAACUUGAAGAAGCAGUACUACAUCUCAAUGGAAGGGUAGAGGCAUGGUACUUUUCCUAUCAUUUAAGCAAAGAAAAUGUUAGAUGGCCAGAGAUUAGCAAAGAAAUCUGUAAGAGGUUCUAAGAUGCAGACAACAGUAAACUCAAUCUCAUUGGUGAAUUUAAGACGAUAGAGCAGAAAGGAACAGUAAAUGAAUACUUGGAAAAGUUUAAGGAUCUAAAGGCUUGGGUUCUCAUAAGAAGCCCUACACAAUACCAGAGGAAUUCUUUCUAGAAUUCUUUAUAGAGGGCCUUACGAAAGAUAAAAAGGCAUACAGUGAAAAUGUUGAACACUUAUAACCUACGCCAAGCUGUAGAAAAAGCUAGGAAUCAAGAAAGGGUAAUUGAGACUUGGAAUAAGAAAGGAAAAGCUACUUGAGGUAGAGGAUCAACCUGAGGAAUCACCAAACAAACACUAGCAAUCCAACUAUGGGUGACAAAGGAGCAAGUUCAUCAAAUUAUUCCGCUCAACGAAACAAGGGUUUUGAUAACGGGAGGAAUAAUGGGUUGUGCUGGAAAUUUAGGGACAAAUACUUCCCUGGUCAUGUGUGCAAGCAAAAACAAAUCAAUGUUAUGGUUGCUGCUGAAGACCAGACUAUAGUGGAAGCAAUGGAAGGUGACACUGUAGAAGAAAGAAACCCAAACAAUCAAGCAGAGGAAGAAGUCAUGGAUGAGGCUAUCAGCCUCAAUGCUCUCUCUAGGAUUGAGGUCCCAAACAUAAUUAAACUAAAAAGUUAAGUCCAAGAGGAAUUCAGUAACUAUCUUGUUGGACUCAGAAAGCACCAUAGCUUCCCGGACGUAGAAACUGUUAAGAAUAUACGGUGCAAGAUUAUAGAGUCUGGUCCUAUAAAGAUCACUAUAGCAAAUGGUAAUUACCUCAUGAGUAGCAUACCUGCUACAAGCUCAAAUGGGUAAUCCAAGGAGUGGAGUUUGAGGACUCUAUGAGAUUAGUAAUAUUAUGAGGAAAUUAUAUGAUACUAGGAGGAGAUUGGAUGAAAGGUCAUAAUCCAGUGCUACUAGAUUUUGUGGAGUACAAGGUUCAGGUAACUCACAAAGGAAAGAGAGUGGAGCUCAAGCGAAUUUACAUCUAAGAGGAACUUAAGACCAUGUCAGUCACUGGAGUCAAACACCUGUUGAAGAAGGGAAAAUCUAUCUGGGCUCACCUAUUUACUUUAACUGUAGAAGAAGUGGAAGACCAGGAGCAGGUACCUGUAGUGAUACAACAGGUUCUGAAGCAGUUCUUUGAUGUGUUUGAGGAGCCAACAAGCCUUCCACCCAAGAGGGAUCAUGACCAUUAUAUUUCCCUGAAACUUUACACAACACCAUUCAGCAUAAGGCCUUACAGGUAAAAAUUGAGAAACAUGUUAAAUGAGAUGCUAGCUAACGGAAUAAUACAACCUAGUCAUUCCCCUUUUUCUUCAUCAAUAUUACCAGUUAAGAAGAAAGAUGGAAGUUGGGGGUACUGUAUUAACUAUAGAGCCCUAAAUAACAUGAUUGUUAGGGACAAAUUUUCCACUUCACUAGUUGAUGACUUAAUGGAUGAGUUACAUGGGUCUUGUAUCUGGUCUAAAAUUGACUUAAGGGCUGGUUACCACCAAAUCAAAAUGGGGAAAGAGGAUGUGUAUAAAACAACUUUUUAGAACACAUUUGGGGCACUAUGAGUUCAAAUAUGCCCAAGGUUAUGCCCUUUGUUAUAACCAAUGCCCCUGCUACAUUCCAAUACCUCAAGAACCAUGUGAUUAGAGCAUAUUGAGAAAGUUUGUUCUGAUUUUCUUUGAUGAUAUCUUAGUCUAUAGUGCCUCACUAAUUGAACAUAAACAUCAUCUUGAAAGGGUGUUGGAAUUACUGAGGGAUGUGCAACUCUUUUCCAAGCUUUCUAAGUGCUCUUUUUGACAGUCCAAGGUAGAAUAUCUUGGGCAUAUUAUCACUGGAGAGGGUGUAGCUACAAAUCCCUCUAAAAUAGAGGCAAUGACUAAUUGGCCUAUUCCUAAAUCCAUCAAGGCUAUAAGGGGAUUUCUGGGCCUAAAAGGAUAUUACAUGAGGUUUAUAUAAUCUUAUGGUGUCAUCAGCAGACCCUAACUAGUCUACUAAAGAAAAAUUCUUUCCAGUGGUCUGCAGAAGCUAACGUUGCCUUCCUGGCAUUGAAACAAGCCAUGUCUUUUGCACCUGUAUUAGCCCUGGCAGAUUUUACAAAAACCUUUGUUGUGGAGACUGGUGCUUGCUCAACAGGGAUGGCUGUGCUAAUGCAAGAAGGCAAACCUCUUGCAUUCUUUAGUAAGGCUUUGGGACCUAAACACACAGGCUUGUCUACUUAUAAAAAGGAGUACAUAGUUGUUCUAUCAGCUAUAGAUAAGUGGAGACACUAUCUACAGGGAGGGCAAUUUAUUAUUAAAAUAGAUCACCAAAGCUUAAAGUACCUUCUAGCGCAAAGGAUGACCACUGAUUUCCAACAAAAAGGUUUGUCCAAGAUACUUGGGUUAUUAUAAAGUGCAGUACACAAAGGGAAUAGAGAACAUGGUUGCAGAUGCACUAUCUAGAAGAGAGGAAUAAGAUCCCUCCUUAUGUGCCAUCACUACUACCAAUCCAAUUUGGAUGGAGGAGAUUGCACAGAGUUAUGAACAUGAUCCUAUGUCCUUACAGUUAAAAACUGAAUUGAUCACCAACCUCAACAAAUCGGACUUUUCCUUACAUCAAGGUAUUAUCGGAUAUAAAUAGAAAAUUCGGGUGAGAAGAAAUGUUGAUCUUAGGACCAAGAUCUUUGAGGUGUUCCAUCAAUCACCCUUGGAUAGUCACUCUGGUCAGCAAGGGAUUUACAGGAGAGUUUAAAUAGGUUUCUACUGGCCAAAGAUGAAAGAAGAUAUACAGAAAUGGGUAGUUGAAUGUGAUGUAUGUCAUAGGGUGACGACUGAACAUGUGCAUUACCUAGGCCUAUUACAAACUAUGCCCAUCCCUGGAAGUUGCAUGUGUUCUUAAAGGAGAUAUAUAAACUACAUGGAUUACCCUAGUCCAUAGUAACAAACAGUGGUCCCCUGUUCACUAGUCAGUUCUGGCAAUAAAUGUCUAAAUCCAUGGGGACUAAGCUCAACAUGUCUACUUCCUAUCAUCCCUAGUCAGAUGGUCAAACAGAGAGGUUUAAUAGGUGCCUAUAGAGCCAUAAUUUUCUAUAUUCCUAAACACUGGCUUAAGUGGCUUCCACUAGCUGAGUGGUGGUUCAAUACUAACUACCACACAUCCCUUAAGACCACUCCAUUUGAGGCUCUUUAUGGAUACCAACUCCAUCAAAUACACAUGGUUUCCCUACACCAAUCCACUCAUACUACUGUAGGGGGUACACUAGCUCACAGGCAGACUAUGUUACAACAUUUGAAGGAAAAUUUACAGGUGGCUCAGUUAGAAUGAAGUUAUUUGCAGAUAAAAUAGGAGAGACAAAAAUUUAAAUGAAGGAGAUUGGGUUUACUUAAAGCUACAACCCAACAUACAAGCUUCAGUGGAAGUCAGAAAGAAUUUGAAACUAAGUGCUAAAUGCUUUGGACCCUAUAAAAUCACACAGAAAAUAGGUUUAGUGUCUUACCGCUUAGAGCUGCCAGCAGGCUCUCAAAUUCACCCAGUGUUCCACGUAUCUCAACUCAAGAAAUGCAUAGGACCACAUGUGCCUACUCAGCUCCAACCUCUUAUCUAUGGACAAGAUGGCCGCUUGAUGGUUCAAUCAAUGGCCAUCCUUCAGAGACACAUCGUCAAGUUGAAUAAUGCAGCAACAGCAAGGUUCUUGUUUAGUGAUCAAAUCUUGGAGCUGAUAAGCAACUUGGGAUGAUUGAGGGUAUAUCAAAAGCCAGUUUCCUGACUUUGUUGCUCAACUCCGGCCUUGAGGACAAAGCCGAUUUGAACGGAAUGGUAGGUUAUCUCUAAAUUGGGAAAUGAAUGAAAUUAGGGUUUAGAUUUGGAAAGUGAGCUGAACAAUAGGUUUAAAAGAUAGAAAUGAGAAGGGCGACGUGGC